rnacentral:rRNA from 1 species
UGCUUUUUUGCUGACGACCGGCGAACGGGUGCGUAACGCGUAUAGAAUCUGCCUUGUACAGGAGGAUAGCCUUUAGAAAUGAAGAUUAAUACUCCAUAAUGUUGAGAGAUGGCAUCAUCUUUUAAUUAAAGAUUUAUCGGUACAAGAUGACUAUGCGUCCUAUUAGCUAGAUGGUAAGGUAACGGCUUACCAUGGCAACGAUAGGUAGGGGGUCUGAGAGGAUUAUCCCCCACACUGGUACUGAGACACGGACCAGACUCCUACGGGAGGCAGCAGUGAGGAAUAUUGGUCAAUGGAGGCAACUCUGAACCAGCCAUGCCGCGUGCAGGA